CCUGGUGACUUGUACUUUAAAAUUACAUGUAAGUUUUAAACAAAAGCCUUAAACACAAAUAAUUGAAUAUGGUCACAUAUGUUAAUAAUAGGACACAGUUUAACAUUCUGACAAAACAUAAAAUAGCAUCACAAAUGAGAUACAAAUGAAAUAAUAUCAUAUAUGUAUUUGCCUGAAUCCUAAAAGUCAAAAAUAGAUAUCUUUACAUAAUGAAUCCUAAUAUGGAUUUAUAUAAAUUUUACGAACUGAGUGGUAUCAAAGAAUCAUUAUGUACAAUGCUAAAACCAAAAUUUCUGUGUUCAAAACCUUAUUUUCUUGAAGUUAGAUACCAUUAAGAAAAAGCUGUGUGGGCUUUCUGGUUUUUAAAUUUAGGUUUCAGUGUGUGAUUCUUCUCUAUUGCAAAUAAACAAAUGAAAAGUGAGCUGCUGGCAUCAGGAAGAAGGAGAAUUGUUCUUCCCUUCUCCCUCAAGGUAUUGUAAAUAAGGGAAGGAACUGGCUUUUAGGGAAUAGGCCUUGCUACACUGUCAGUGUAUUACUUUGGGGUCCAUAUGUGUUUUUUUUUUUUUUUUCUUAUAUGAGAGAUCCUAAUUCCUUCCUUUAUCCUUUUCCAUUAACUAAAACUGGAGAUGUUAUGGAAACAACAAUUUAUACAAUAAGGGCUGGCAUGUUAGGAAUGACCAUCUCUGAAUUCCCAUAACAUGGCAGACAAGUUAAUCCAGGAGAUUACAAACUGAGCUGGAUGCAAAUCUUGUGAAUGCCCACCCUCAUAAUUACAUCAGGAAAGGUGUUAGGCAGUGCAGCCAGUUCUCGUUAAUCAACAGUAUUCUAUAAUCCUCACUUUAGCUUCACUUCAUACUAGUAAAAGAGCAUUUCCAUACCUCUCACAGUUAACGGGGCAUUCUCAUACUUUCUUUCUAGUUUGUGCCUCUAAUCAGAAGAAUAUUGGUGAUAUGACAUGCCACAGUUAUUUGUGACAAGAAGCCAUGGAUCCUUUCAUUCUCUGCCCCCUCCACUUGUAUCUAUUGAUCUAUUUAUUUAUCCAUUCAUCUAUAUUCUUGUUAUUAUCUUAUAGACAGGAGCCUUAAAGAAAAGACUUGAUCAUUAUUUCAGGUUAAAAAAUGAGCAACAAUCCCCCUGGUCAUGAAAUUAUAAUGCAAGUGUCUUCUCUAUUAAAUUGCUCUCAGGUAAUAAUUUAGAGAGAAAUUGGCACACACCUUACAAAUGGUUUUCUAUUUUUAACUAUAUCUCCCUUAUGGUACCUGGGUGGACUUUGUGCUCAUUAGUCUUUGGCUCCUACCAAUGUGUGAUAAACCUCUGCACAAGAUGCUGGGGGAAAAUCUAGCCUUUAUGUCUGCAGCCUAAUGAGAUUUAGAUCCAAGAGAUGAGUACAUUCGAGGAGUCAAAAUGCUUCUGUGUCAGAAUUUUAUGACAAGAGAAAAAAGGUGGGACACUGGUUAUUUUUUGGGACAUCAGCUACUGAUUUGUGAACUUGAUGAAAGUUAUUUUAAAUGUUGAUUGUUAGGUUAUAAUGUCCCCCACCCCCAUUUUCAUUAGAAAUGUCAUUUACACGUUGUUACUUGACACACAGUAAAAAGUGUGGAGUUUUUGAAUAGUUAAAAAAGAGGAUUGUUCCACAGGGGCCACUGUAAGAUCUGUAACAGAGCUCUGCUGAAGGUAUUUUACUCCUUGAUUCCUGCAGUGAUAAACCUAGGUGGGUUUUUAGAAAUUAUUCUAAGAAGAAUAAAUCAUAAGAAAAAGGAAAAAGAGUAGUACUGGUGUGACCUUCAGUCAUCCGAAAGUGAGUUACUGUUAUCAGGAAGAAAGAGAAGAGUUGUAGAAAAGCCUAAUGAACUGCUGACUUGAGACUUGGAGAGCCAAGAAACGUAUCUGAGGCUAAUGAUGUGGUGAGGAUGGAGAGAUUAGGAACCCUGAGCAGGUCUCAGGGCAGAUGAUGUAUCCAAGGAAACUGUUUAUUUGCCAACCUGUGGGAAAGAUAUGGAAGCCAUUUAAAGGUUGAUAUUUUCUGUAAUAAAUUUCUACUAACAGUCUGCAGAUGAAAAGACCUAUUACAGUAUGUUAUUGUCAACCCAUUAAAUUUUAUUCUAAGCCUGAUUUGGAAGACUGCUUGAAAAGAGAAGCAUCAGUUUUCCAGUAAGAAGUAAAUGGAGAGUCCAGAGUUGCUUCUGUUGACCGUCAAUUUCCAGUGGUGCAGAGGGGCUACAAGUGUGACACAGAUUAAACUCUCUAUAGGAAGUCUCUGAUGGGAAAGAACAAGUUCAGACUGGCUCCUCCUGUGUUGUCUGGGCUGGUCUCAAACUCCUGGCCCAACUUCCCAUUGGGGUUGACAGAGCUGGUGCUCAGGUAAUCAACAUCUUCCUGAGCCUACAAGAAAGCAUUUGGGACAACUUGACAAUGCAUGGUGAGUCUGAAAGUUUGCUUUUUUUGUCUAAGCAUUUAAAAUUCCCUGUUAUUUUCUUUGUUUUUGGCUGCCUUUGGCUUAAUUGUCUUGUCAGCUGUUGUAAGCCUGACAGCCAUAUGAGGUCAAGCAGAAAAACUGAACUGGAGAAAUAAUCAUAUUUCUUCAAUGUAUCAUUUCUGAAAACUGGAUAUGAAGAGAGAAUAUUCGUUCAUAGGUAUGGCAUAACUUCCAUUUUAUAGCUAAAAGAAAUCUUACCCCAAAUGGUGACAAUUUGUAGAAUUAUGAGUUGAAUAUUUGUAUAAGUAUAUGAGUUGAAUAUUUGUAUAUUUUUUAACAUAAACGAUGCAUUAUUUUCUGCCAAUAAAUGUUAUGACUUUUAUAUCAAGUAAAGAUAUGUUGUUAAUAGGAUCCCAGCAGUUGAUGAUAUAACUUUUUGUGGGCUAGACUAACCACAUGGCUUCCUAGUUGGGCUGUAAAGGAAUCAACAGCUAGUUUAGAGUUACUGGGGGUAGCAUUUGGAAGAUUUAACUUGUCCAGUUUGGGCCACUUAUUAAUAUUAUAUAUUGCUUAUCCAUCUUUUGCAGUUCUUUGGGGUUCCUUCCUUAGACUUAAUACUCAAGGCAGGUUUGAUGGAAGGCUUUCUGUAGACAACUCACUUGGCUCUGACAUACCAACAAAGCCUCUCUGGAGCCAAGAUAAACCCAAGGCUCAUUUCUGCAUUUAUUUAUUGAUACAGCAAAUGUGGUGUUUUUUGGAGAUUAUCAGAAAAUCAGUUCUACAUAAUAGAAGUGAACUUGCACCCUGAUAUUAGUUCUGUGUUCACUUGUCUUUU